UGGUUUGAGCGCUUAGCUGUUAACUAAGAAUUUGUAGGAUCGAGGCCUACCACCUAGAAAGGCUUUAACUUAA
rnacentral:tRNA from 1 species